AACGAACGCUGGCGGCAUGCCUAACACAUGCAAGUCGAAUGAGACCCCUGACUUCGGUUGGCGGGUCUAGUGGCGCACGGGUGCGUAACGCGUGGGAAUCUGCCCUUGGGUUCGGAAUAACUCAGAGAAAUUUGAGCUAAUACCGGAUGAUGACGAAAGUCCAAAGAUUUAUCGCCCAGGGAUGAGCCCGCGUAAGAUUAGCUUGUUGGUGGGGUAAUGGCCUACCAAGGCGACGAUCUUUAGCUGGUCUGAGAGGAUGAUCAGCCACACUGGGACUGAGACACGGUCCAGACUCCUACGGGAGGCAGCAGUGGGGAAUAUUGCGCAAUGGGCGAAAGCCUGACGCAGCAACGCCGCGUGGGUGAAGAAGGUCUUCGGAUCGUAAAGCCCUGUCAGGAGGGACGAAACAAAUGACGGUACCUCCAAAGGAAGCACUGGCUAACUCCGUG
rnacentral:rRNA from 1 species